CCUACGGGUGGCAGCAGUAGGGAAUAUUGGGCAAUGGGCGCAAGCCUGACCCAGCAAUGCCGCGUGAAGGAAGAAGGCUUUAGGGUUGUAAACUUCUUUGACAGGGGAAGAGCAGAAGACGGUACCCUGAAAACAAGCCACGGCUAACUACGUGCCAGCUACCGCGGUAAUACGUAUGUGGCAAGCGUUGUCCGGAUUUACUGGGUGUAAAGGGCGUGUAGCCGGGAAGGCAAGUCAGAUGUGAAAUCUGGAGGCUCAACCUCCAAAUUGCAUUUGAAACAGUUUUUCUUGAGUACGGGAGAGGCAGACGGAAUUCCUUGUGUAGCGGUGAAAUGCGUAGAUAUAAGGAGGAACACCAGUGGCGAAGGCGGUCUGCUGGACAGCAACUGACGGUGAGGCGCGAAAGCGUGGGGAGCAAACAGGAUUAGAUACCCUUGUAGUC
rnacentral:rRNA from 1 species